ACCAGGUAUGGAGUGAGCUUCAUUUUGACAAGCCAACCUUUCUCUUCGUCUGCAAAAUGAACCUUUGUGUUCUUCCUGCACCCAAAUGCCUCACGAGUCCAGCCAUUCUUGCUUCACCUCAUUCUUUUUUUUUUUUUUUCUUCUGGGUAUCUAGAUUUAGUUUCAGCACUGAGGUUGGCUCAGUAUUUGUAUCUGGGUGCCUCUGCCCUGGAUUUGAGAUCUUUUAGAGCUUUCUGGUAGUAGACCAUAACUGGAUCAAUGGAAAUGAAGUUUUGGAUUUGGAGUAGCAAAUGGAGAUUGCAGUAGAUGUUCAUAACAGUUAAUGUUCCGUGCUAUUACUAUACAUUUACUCAAAUUCAUUGGUUGUGAAGAGGCUGUCAAGAUUUGUCUUGGAAUAUAUAUCUAUGGCCAAGUUUAAAAUGCUUUUUACCUCAUUCAGAAUGAAGAGGUGGUCUGGUGGGAUGUUGAUUAUGGCUCUUGCUGUGAUCUUAAUUUCCGUUACAGCUUAAUAGCUGCCCAGCCGCAAAAGGAAA